GAUGAACGCUAGCGGCAGGCUUAACACAUGCAAGUCGUACGAGAAAGUCGGCUUCGGCUGAUGAGUAAAGUGGCGCACGGGUGAGUAACGCGUGGAUAAUCUGCCCUUUAGUUGGGAAUAACGUACCGAAAGGUGCGCUAAUACCGAAUAAUGCUGAGUGACAUCAGUUAUUUAGCCAAAGAAGGCCUCUGCUUGCAAGCUUUCGCUGAAGGAUGAGUCCGCGUACCAUUAGCUAGUUGGUAGGGUAAUGGCCUACCAAGGCGACGAUGGUUAGCUGGUCUGAGAGGAUGAUCCCCCACACUGGUACUGAGACACGGACCAGACUCCUACGGGAGGCAGCAGUGAGGAAUAUUGGUCAAUGGGCGGAAGCCUGAACCAGCCAUGCCGCGUGCAGGAUGACGGCCCUACGGGUUGUAAACUGCUUUUCCCCGGGGCGAAUAACCCCCUCGCGAGGGGGAUGGCCGGUACCGGGGAAUAAGGAUCGGCUAACUCCGUGCCAGCACG
rnacentral:rRNA from 1 species